CCCCCUCUUUACUUCCGCUGUCCGCCCGGGAAUUACGAGCAUCAGCUUAAAACCCAAAGGACUUGGCGGUGCUUAAGAUCCACCUAGAGGAGCCUGUUCUGUAACCGAUAACCCCCGUUAAACCUCACCCUUCUUUGUUCCUACCGCCUAUAUACCACCGUCGUCAGCCUACCCUAUGAUGGAUUAAUAGUAAGCAUAAUUAGCACAGCCCAAAACGCCAGGUCGAGGUGUAGCAUAUGGAAGGGGAAGAAAUGGGCUACAUUCUCUGCCCCCAGAGCACACGAAAUUUGUAUUGAAACCUACACUAGAAGGAGGAUUUAGCAGUAAGCGGGGAAUAGAGCGCCCCCCUGAAACCGGCCCUAAAGCGCGCACACACCGCCCGU
rnacentral:rRNA from 1 species